UUUACGUUUCAUGUGAUAGUAACUGUUUCACCAAUAUUCUGAUACAGGAUGGUAUAUCCGCCAUUACUAUUUUCACAUUGUUUAUUUAGUCUGUCAUGGAGUUGUAGAGUGAAUUAGACAGUAGUGAUAACAUUAUAAUGUCCACACAUCAGUGUUGUAAACACUUCUCCAAUUAAUUAUAUAAUUAUGUUUUCACACUGAGGGAAGUGGAGAGACUUGAUGUGGACUGUUAUCAACAGCUCUGUGGGAGAUCAUCACCUUGAAUAUUACAGAUGAGCUCCUGAUGUCCCCAGCAGCAACAUGGUGGAGAUCUGCAGCUUCAUGCUGGUCAACUGGAAGACAACUGAUUAAGAUUAAAAGAUUAAGAUUAAAAUCCAUUUAUUCAUCCCAAACACAUGCACAGACAUGCAAAGGCACACUCAUGCAGAUGAAGAACUGCAGCACCUGAUGUCCUCAGCAGCAACAUGGUGGAGAUCUGAUUUGAUACACUUUAGAUAAGAACCCAGUGUUUUAUAUUUCUGCUUUGCCAUAAGAGACAGAACAUGGUCAUCACAGCUGUGUCCUUCAGGCUCGUCUGUCCCUAAUAAAAUGAUAGGAAACAUGAAAGUGAUCGUCAUUAUUGUAGAGGAAGAGUUACAUAUGAACAAAGUGUGUAAUCUUAUUUUCUGUGGAUAUUCAACUGUGUAUUUGAAUAUGCUUUUGGAUUAAAACGUGCACUACCAUGACAA